rnacentral:rRNA from 1 species
UGGGGAAUUUUGGACAAUGGGCGAAAGCCUGAUCCAGCAAUGCCGCGUGUGUGAAGAAGGCCUUCGGGUUGUAAAGCACUUUUGUCCGGAAAGAAAUCCUUGGCUCUAAUACAGUCGGGGGAUGACGGUACCGGAAGAAUAAGCACCGGCUAACUACGUGCCAGCAGCCGCGGUAAUACGUAGGGUGCAAGCGUUAAUCGGAAUUACUGGGCGUAAAGCGUGCGCAGGCGGUUUGCUAAGACCGAUGUGAAAUCCCCGGGCUCAACCUGGGAACUGCAUUGGGUGACUGGCAGGCUAGAGUAUGGCAGAGGGGGGUAGAAUUCCACGUGUAGCAGUGAAAUGCGUAGAGAUGUGGAGGAAUACCGAUGGCGAAGGCAGCCCCCUGGGCCAAUACUGACGCUCAUGCACGAAAGCGUGGGGAGCAAACAGGAUUAGAUACCCUGGUAGUCCACGCCCU